CUGGGGGUGGUAAAGAAGCUGGGGAGGAAGGGCUGCUGAGCUGGGCAGCGGAGGGGGCCUUGGUGUCCAGCUGUGCUCCGAACCUCAAGGGCAACAAAACUAUCAGUACCUGCCUCCACUCCUUCUGUCUGGGUGCUCUUGAGAUCGCGGGGUGUUGCCGCAAGACCCUUUUGUGCCUGGAUGCCGGACCAAAAGGCUGUCCCUCCCAAACCUGGGAUUCUGGGCUCACUGAGUUCACCUGCGAGUCAGCCCUACCUGCUCUGCUCUGGUCUAGUACAAACAGGCUGCUGGCAUUGAGGUAGGUGGCAGAGAGAGUAAUGGUCCCAUGGCCCAGGGGCAAGGUGAAGACUGCUCCUAUUCCCAUCUCUAGGUUUCCUUUCCUCCCUACCCACGACCCACCCACCCCAACACAUUGGUCUCCAGCAUCUCAUCAGCAGUUUAGACAUUUCUCACCCCUCCUCACUUUGGCCCUGCUGGGUCAGUGCUCUCUGUUCA
rnacentral:lncRNA from 1 species